rnacentral:rRNA from 1 species
GCGAUGUUUCAUUCAAAUUUCUGCCCUAUCAACUUUCGACGGUAGGGUAGUGGCCUACCGUGGUGGUAACGGGUGACGGAGGAUUAGGGUUCGAUUCCGGAGAGGGAGCCUGAGAAACGGCUACCACAUCCAAGGAAGGCAGCAGGCGCGCAAAUUACCCAAAUCCCAACUCGGGGAGGUAGUGACAAGAAAUAACGAUGCUCCGGCCAUCGGUCGGGUAAUCGGAAUGAGGACAAUUUAAAUCCCUUAUCGAGGAUCAAUUGGAGGGCAAGUCUGGUGCCAGCAGCCGCGGUAAUUCCAGCUCCAAUAGCGUAUAUUUAAGUUGCUGCGGUUAAAAAGCUCGUAGUCGGAUUUCGGGUGGUGCCUACCGGUCCGCCCUUGGUGUGUACUGGUAGGCGCCACCUUUCUGCCGAGGACGGGUUCCUGGGCUUAGCUGUCUGGGGCCCGGAGUCGGCGAUGUCACUUUGAGUAAAUUAGGGUGUUUAAAGCAGGCUUAUGCUCUGUAUACACUAGCAUGGGAUGACACGAUAGGACUUCGGUCUAUCUUGUCGGUCUGUAGAUCGGAGUAAUGAUUAAGAGGGACAGUCGGGGGCAUUCGUAUUUCGUAGUCAGAGGUGAAAUUCUUGGAUUUACGGAAGACGAACUUCUGCGAAAGCAUUUGCCAAGGAUGUUUUCAUUGAUCAAGAACGAAAGUCGGGGGCUCGAAGACGAUUAGAUACCGUCGUAGUCUCGACCAUAAACGAUGCC